UUCCUACGGGGCGCAGCAGUGGGGAAUAUUGGACAAUGGGGGAAACCCUGAUCCAGCGACGCCGCGUGAGUGAAGAAGUAUUUCGGUACGUAAAGCUCUAUCAGCAGGAAAGAAAAUGACGGUACCUGACUAAGAAGCACCGGCUAAAUACGUGCCAGCAGCCGCGGUAAUACGUAUGGUGCAAGCGUUAUCCGGAUUUACUGGGUGUAAAGGGAGCGCAGGCGGUGCGGCAAGUCUGAUGUGAAAGCCCGUGGCUCAACCCCGGUACUGCAUUGGAAACUACCG
rnacentral:rRNA from 1 species